rnacentral:rRNA from 1 species
UACAAAGAGAAGCAAGACCGUGAGGUGGAGCAAAACUCAAAAACUUGUCUCAGUUCGGAUUGUAGGCUGAAACUCGCCUACAUGAAGCUGGAGUUGCUAGUAAUCGCGAAUCAGCAUGUCGCGGUGAAUACGUUCCCGGGCCUUGUACACACCGCCCGUCACACCAUGGGAGUUUGUAACGCCCAAAGUCGGUGGCCUAACCUUUAUGGAGGGAGCCGCCUAAGGCGGGACAGAUGACUGGGGUGAAGUCGUAACAAGGUAUC